GUUAGGGGGAGGACCUCUUAUAAAUUAAUCCACACUAAAAAAAAAAAUGACAGCUCCCACCCCCUCUAAACUUUCAUAGGAUUAUUUGCUAAGUAAUCCUAAGCUAAUUCCUUUGGUGGAAUUUCAGGUGGUGUGUGGGAUACAUUUUGAGUGUACCACUCAGCCCUGAACACACUACUCCAGGUGUGAUUUGACCAACUAAGAGGAAUUAUUCCUUCCCAUGUUCUGGACACUAUUAGAGGCAGCUAGCUGGUGGUACAGUGGAUAGAGUUCUGGACCCCAAAUCAGAUAGAACUGAAUUCAAAUCCUGACACAGUCACUUGCUCAGACACUUUCAUCCCAGUAGUUAAGACUCAUAGCUUCCACAAAAUUGAUAUGCCGCAUCUUUCUUCAUUCAAGUCACUGGGAAAGUUUUACCAGGAUGUGGUUGCUGUGCAUGCUACAGCUUCUUGGAGCCACAGAUCUGCCCAGCACCUGUGAUGGAGCUCAGAACACAAUGGCAGCCCAACAGAUAUUGUUGACUCACUGAAUGUGGGAAAUUUUGUAUUAUGUUAGGGUAACAGCCAACCAUGGACACCUUUAGGUGUUUUGUCAAGGUCUUAGUAAUUGCCACAAUGGAAAGAACACUGUGUCUGGAGGCAAGGACCUGGGUCCAAAUGCAACCUUUGAAAUUU